AUGCUGAAUAAAUUAGUAUUCAAUCAAAAAACUAUGAAGGCAUUUUCUCAGUUCAUACGUUGUCAUACUUUCUUCAUGCUUCUUAGCAUUUUGCUUUGGCAGGGCAGCAUAAGCUUCUGUAUAUUUAUUUUUUAUAUUAAAUUAAAUUUUCGCAGCUGUUCAAAUGAACCUAGUAUACUAAUUGUUUUGUACAUGUCUCUUUCAGUUGUGGCCAUGCUGUUACGCAUCGUACUGUCAGCAGAAGCUUCGGAUGUCCAACGAUGCACAGGGGAGAGACAGCGUGAUGGCCAGUUCUACUUCAACAUGACGUAUGACCUUAAAGAGGGUGUUCAUGACUGUGAGACCCAAUGGGUCAUCAAUGGAAUUGUGGCGGGAUUUUCUGAUGCUGAUGGACAUACGAAGUGCAUGCUCCCACUUGUAAAUGCAACCGCAAACACAGCCAUCUUACACACCUGCCAUGAAAAACUGGAAUGUCUGCUCAUCUGCCCCUCCGCCAGUAUCAACAAAAAGGAACCGUGCUCUUGUGAUAUCACUUCUCCAACUACACUUCCUGAAGGUAAAGUCAACAGCUUAUGCUGUACAGUAGCACUAUCUUGUAUCAAACAAUUAACAUUAAAGUUUGUACAUUCACACAUUUUCUGUUGGCAAAAUAGGCUUUAUAGGCCAGCAAGGUAGCAUCCUGUUUCAGACACCAGAAUGCUAUGAAAUGCACUUGCUUGUUUUCAUUUUUUGCAAUUUUCUUUAGGCUAGAAAAUGUGCAACAGUUUGAUCAUGACACAAGCAAACGUCAGGAUUUAUGUUGCUCCAUCAAAAGUCCAUUUAACUAAAUCUGUGACACUUAAAGUGACAUGACAUACAGACAGGUUUUCAGAAUUCGUGCUCUGCUUUUAACCCAUCCAAAGUGCACACACUCCGUGGACACACAACCGGAGCAGUGGGCAGCCAUUUAUGCUGCGGCUUCGGGGAGCAGUUGGGGGUGCGGUGCCUUGCUCAAGGGCACCUCAGUCGUGGUAUUGCCGGUCCAAGACUUGAACCCACAACCUAAGGGUUAGGAGUCAAAUACUCUAACCAUUAGGCCACGACUUCCCCUUAA
ensembl:lncRNA